rnacentral:rRNA from 1 species
GACGAACGCUGGCGGCGUGCUUAACACAUGCCAGUCGAACGGUAAGGCCCCUUCGGGGGUACACGCGUGGCUGGCGGAUGGGUAACACACGAGCAACUUGCCCUUGCCUCUGGUAUGACAGUUGUCAACAACCGCUAAUACUUGCCAUUCAUCGUCUCCUUCCUGAGGGUUGGUGGUAAGCACCGGCGGUCGGGGAUGGGCUCGCGGCCUAUCAGCUUGUUGGUGGGGUAAUGGCUUACCAAGGCUUCGACGGGUAGCCGGCCUGAGAGGGCGACCGGCCACACUGGGACUGAGAUACGGCCCAGACUCCUACGGGAGGCAGCAGUGGGGAAUAUUGCACAAUGGGCGGAAGCCUGAUGCAGCAACGCCGCGUGCGGGAUGACGGCCUUCGGGUUGUAAACCGCUUUCAGUAGGGACGAAGGGUGAGUGACGGUACCGACAGAAGAAGCACCGGCUAACUACGUG